CCUACGGGAGGCAGCAGUGGGGAAUUUUGGACAAUGGGCGCAAGCCUGAUCCAGCCAUGCCGCGUGAGUGAAGAAGGCCUUCGGGUUGUAAAGCUCUUUCGGCGGGGAAGAACUCGCCACGGGUUAAUACGUCUGUGGAUGACGGUACCCGAAUAAGAAGCCCG
rnacentral:rRNA from 1 species